GCAAGAAACCCUAGGGUUUCUUGCUCCUGGGGCAUGGAGAAUAGCCGAAGAGAGAGGGAGAAGAGAGAGAGAGACUUGGGAGAAAGGGUUUUCGUAUUCCUUGGCUUAAUCAAACCUAUACAGUACAUGUAUAUAUAAACACAGGGUCAAGUGACCCAAACCCAAAACUCCCUUGACCAACUCUAUGGGAGAUUAGGUUAACCCAAGCCCAUGUAUACCCAUGACUUGACCUAAUCUCACCUAUCCUGGAUCCAGACCUGGCCCAUAAAGAGUUGGUCCCUUAAGGCCCACAUGACCUAGACCUCAAGAACCCGAAAGGCCCAUAGCCUUUCAACCUAGGGCCCAACUAGCCCUAAAGCCUCCAUGAAGCCCUCAUGAAUGAUGGACCUUGGUCUUAGCCUUGGUCUCCUGGGCCUUGGGCACACCACUUGGAUCACAACACUUAGGGGAUGCAUCCGACUCUCAUUUCUCUUGGAAGCGAGUUGCCCAGCCUAAAACACAUAGAUAAUUUUUGAAACAAAGAUGUUUCAUUCAUUGAGUUUAGGUUUAUUCAACAAGAAGAUCUAUCUAAAUGAUGAUACACUUGGAGAUUGGCCAAAUUCCAUGUCCAAGGUAUAAGCAUUCCAUCAAGAUGCUCCAAAUAGUAGGUUCAGAGGUAGACAACCUCCAUCACUUGGUACAGCCCUUCCCACUUUGGUGUGAGCUUGCUUUGCUCUAUGGGUUGCAACACCUCAAUCUUUUGGAGUACCAAAUCCCUAUCGAAAGAACAUAAUUUUCACUUGAGAAUUAUAAUGUUGAGCUACUCAUUGCUAAUAAGUUGCCUUCUAGAUUUAAGCUCGCUCCCUCGCUUCUUUCAAUAGGUCGAGGUUGGCUCAGUGGUCCUCUAGGUUUUGUAGCUUAUUGAAGAACUCCACCAUAUAGGAUGGUAAGCCAAUCUCCAAUGGGAUUAUCGCUUCUAAGCCGAAUACGAGGAUGAAGAGCAUUUCUCUUGUUGGGGUUAGAUGUGUAGUAUGGCAUCCUAAAUGAUGCUAUAUAGCUCAUCCACCAAAAUAUUUUGAGUAAAUUACAAAAAUCUCUUUGAGGUUUUCAUUUAUUAUACUUACAUCCAGUAGUUUGUAAAACCUACAUUUACACCCACAUAAAUUAACACGAUUAGUGAAACCAUUUAUAUAAUAUAAAAAGAUAAAAAUAUCCUUAAGAUCUGUUGGGAUUUGGAUGCAUAGUAAAAUUAAAUUUUUAAAAAAAAUUUAACAUGCAGCCACAAUUAAAACAUGUGAUCCGAACCUCAAUCCCAAAAUCACCUUGAUGCAUUCAAUCACAUACAAAUGACAUAGCAUAUAAAAGAGAGAUUAGAAAUGUUAUACUAAAUAGGAAGAUCCGAGCUGCUCGACAAUCAGUAUCCUCGAGACAUCCAAGCGUGUGCCCUCUAAUGGUGAUCCACACAGACCUCGAUCUAGGACUCUCUCUAAUCUAGAUUCAUUAAAUUUUCUUUUCAAAAAAAUCAGCAGCUACUCCUUUCGAUAUAUCACCAACUCUUGAUGAUUUUCACACUCCCUUCUUCCUUCUCUUGGACAUGUAAAUCCUGAUGUCUCUUAGCCCUUUUAGCUGUCCAACACUUGGACAUUAGGAACUACCCUUUAGAUCUAAAAUAUGAUCUAUUAGAUCCAACCCUUUGGAUCUGACUUUUGAUCACUUUGAUCCAACACUUGGAUCAAAUUUUUAAAUUAAUUGGAUGCACCCAAAUCCAUAGCCAUUCAGCCCCUUCAUUUGAGACCCAAAUCAUGAGUCAACAAGUAGCCAUGCCAGGAUCCUUAUCUCCCCACAACCGCCCAUCCCUUGGGUGUCAAAAAUAGAAAGAAAAAAAUCCCUUUGUACAUGUAAGAUGGAAGAGUUCUUCUCUCAGAAGGACUCCUUCCUUUGGCACACAAGCAUAAGCAUGAAGACCCUCUUCACGUGGGGAUAAGAAGCACAAAGAACUUCUUUCUUUUGUGUGGAUUUUUGCUUCUGAUGACCAACACUUGGAUGCCAGAAACAUACAAAAGGGGCAUCAGAUAUCUUUCUCCAAAAGGGAUUCCUACUAAGGUAUUUAGAAUCCAAAAAGAUAAGCACCACAAAAACCAUGGACUCUUAUCCUUAAAUAGGAAUCAGAUGGAGCAAGUGUUAACAACCUUUUAUGGCAUCCAACCUUAAAAUGCACAAGCCAAGAGAUGCAUGAAAACAAUUUUUCAUGCAACAUAAAAUAGGAAAAAUGUGUGGACUCCUGGGAUGGUGUGCAAAGUUCCUUCUCUCAGGACUCUUAGUUAAGGGAUGCACCAAACAAUUUAGUGCAUGAUAUUCCAUGCUAAAACCCAAGAGUCGCAUGAAGACUUCCUUAUCAGAUAAGGAUUCUUCUCUGGUGCCGCGCCAAACAUUUUGGCACUUUGGUUUUCCCAUGAAGAAAUGAGAAGGUGUGGAAGGAAGUUUAGGAGGUGUGGACUCCUCCUUUAAGGCAUUAAAUCCUCUCUUGUGUCCAACCAUUGGACACCCAAAAAUCAAAGAGCCAUGGUUUCAAUCCAAAUAGGGUUUGAACCAUUCAAAACCCAAUUAGAAGUCCAAAAAAUCUGAUCUUUGACUAAUCAAAGCCCAAUGCCAAAAUUAAAUCCAGUCAAAUUGGGGAUUAGGGUUUAAACACAUGCUAGCAUGCUUGACUCAAAUCUAUUUAGGAUUUCUAUCAAAUCUAAUUCAAUUAGGUUCAACAAGACCUAAUCAAAAAUCCUAGAUCAAUUUUCUUUUAUGUGUAACCCAUUGGGUUCCAUAUUUAGCCAGUAGUAGAUUGAGUUUAUGUGCACCUAAUCCAAUUAGGUUCAAGAUAUAUUGAACCCAAAUCCAUCAAUUGAUCAGAACUCUUCUAACUAAUUUGUUGAAUUAAACUCCUUCAAUUUUUUGAGACCUAUAAGUCAAGAUUGACGUCUAGUAAUGUAUCAUGAUUAUCCAAAAGAUAUAAAAUUUGAUGAAAUAUCAAAAUUAUCCUUCUGUGGUGAGUUAUCAUGCAAUUUAAUCUUUCGAUCACACAACAUCCUAGAUAGGCUAUGGGCAUAAAAAUAUGUCAAGCCUAAAUACCUAUCCAUAUAUAUCCUGAUCUGAUGAUGAUGACUCGAUUGAUGAACUAGUAGAAACUCUUUUCUACUAUUCAUCCCUACUUUGGUCAGAGAUUCUCUGAGUCAUCACCCUAUGAGACUGCAUAGGAUGUUCUCUCCUCUUACAAGGAGUGACCGAUUUCUUAUUGACCAAUCACAACCUUCAUGUAUACUUCACCACAUCCAGAACAUCCCACACAUGUCUCAAAGAGUCAUGCUAGAGUAUGAACCAAAGUAUGGAUCUACAUACACAACGUACUACGGUGAUCUCAGAUCAAAGGAUUACUUACACCACUCCCAUUGGAGAAUUAUUUGUUGACAUACUAGUAAGAUUCCAUCAGAUAUUCUUUCUAUGGAUCAGUUCAGUGAACUUAUCUCUAAUGAGCACCUACAUCCUUGUAUUAGUAUCAGCAUACAACUGAUUAUAAAAUCAGUCACCUUCUCUGUCGAGCAUACCUAGGAUGUACUAGUCUUACCGACAUCAUCGAUUUCCGACUUGAUGAUCCUAUGACUGAAAAUAUUUUAGACUAGGACUAUCAAGAUUUUAGGUUUCACUGGCAUGAUCUCAUCAUAGCCCUAAAACCAUUGUUGUAGACUCUCCAUAAGUAGAUUUGAGAUAGUUUGUAAGUCUUGAACUUCACAAAUUCAAUUAUCCUCUCACUACCAGUGGCAUGCCUACUGACAAACACUUUUGUGCAGUAGGAUAGUAGAAGUAGUAUCACAUACUCUUCUUAGGAUAACCUACAAAUCUACUCUUAUUUGAUCUAGUAUGAAAGCUUAUGUAUAUUAACUCUUUUCACAUAAGUUGGGCAAUCUAUCUUUUUACUUUCUAUAUCUCAUAUAGAGUACUAGUAACAGAUAUAGAUGGUACCUCAUUCAUAAUAUAUGCAACAAUUUUUAGAAAAUAUUUCUAGAAUUAGAUUGGAAGGUCUGUGAAGCAUAAUAUAGACCAUACCAUAUCUUAUAUGGAGUGUCCAUCUCUGGAUUGAGGUGUUAUUAGCUUUCAAACUUCCAUAUGUAUGAGGCCUAAUAGCUCGUUUCCUAUCCCCAUAUCCAAUAAAUAGAGAUUAGGUCAUUUUUAUUUAGUUUCCAUAUUCCUUGCAAUCCUACAACAACUUGCAUAAGUGAAAACUGUAGGAGGUAUCAGAUACCCAAGAAUUAAAACUGAAGUACUCGAUGAUAAAUUUAUUUGUAUCAAAUACAAACCUCUAGCAAAUGUAACCUUUACAUUUUACUACUGCUUCACACUUGCAAGUUAACUUUUGCAAUUUUCUUUCAAAUACUCAAUAUUACUACAACAGAAAUAGGUACCUUAGGCGGAGACAUUCUUCAUCUUCUUCUCCUUGAUGAUGCUAUCCAAAAAAAAGGAAUCAGAGAGUAUUUGCAGGAUCAAAUCCUAGCUCAGCUCACCAUCCAAUACAAAAAUCUAACUGACUUAAUCGCAUGAUCAAGUCAAUCAGAAUACACAUGACAGUCAUACUGUCAUAUCAUCAUAUCUCAUAUGUGAUUUUUUCUUCUUUAUAGCAUCAUCCCUGAUCUAAUCGAAAUCAGGAGAAUGAAGAAUAUAAGAGACUUUCUCUUAGAUAAGAACUAUUCUCAGGUUUCUCAAUCAGUCCAUAUGGUUUAAUUUGGUCAACAUAUUGGCAUCAAAUAUAUCAUGCAGUGAUAGUAAAGAUGCAAAAUAAAUAUAGAUAAGAAUAAAAAAUAAAUGGACUACUCAUGAUAACAUGUACAAUUUAGAUGAGGUCUUUUAUCUAAUUGUGUCUCUCACUUAUUUGAUGAAUUUCAUAGCCCUCAAGUAUGAAAAAUAAGAAAUCCUAUCAUUAGAUUUUUAAGUGGGAUUGAGAUCUCAAUUCUUCACAAAAGUUUUGUGGAUAACACAAUAAAUUUUUAUGAGUUCAAGGAUAGGUAACUCUUUACCAAUUGCAUCUCAUACAACUCUCAAUAAAAUUUUUAUCUCUAAAAUACUUAUAGUCUUGUGGAUAGCACAAUAAACUAUAGUAUUUUAGUUAAGUCAUAUCCUUCAUUUUUAUAUGAUCAUAUCUAAAUAAUACUAUCCUUAUGAAUAGCAUAACAAAGUAGUAGUACCCAAAUAUGCCAUAAAUAUCACUAAGUCAACAUCAUAUCAAAUUCUAUAGUCAGUUUUGUGGAUAAUACAAUAAACUCACUAUAGUUUUUGAUAUACUCUAUUGGCUUAGUACAAGCUAAAUAUUUCAUAAGCAUCAAUAUGCACUAAGUCAACAUCACAUCAAGCUCUAUAGCAAGUCUUGUGGAUAGCACAACAAACUCACUAUAGUUUUUGAUAUGCUCUAUUAGCUUAGCAUGAAGGAAGGCAUGUAUAGUAUUCUUAACACUUCACCAUUAUAACUUAAUAUAAUUUUAAUGAAGAACUUGGGUCUCAAGUACAUUCAUAAUAUAUAAAUCCAUCAAAUAUAAUUUAUAUUUAAUUCUAACUACCAGCAUAUAAGAGCAUGUAAAAGAAAACGGAUGGUUAUAGAUUUUUCUAAUGUAAUUCAUCCGAACCACUAGAUGGAUUAUGGAUCUAAUCCUAGGUGCAUUACAGACUGAACCAUCUCAUGAUCGAUCUACAUGCACCUCUGCUCUCUAAUUGUCUGGUAGUUCAGUCUUCAUCUCCAUGAAGACUUCUAUGAAUACUCCAUCUUUAUCCAAAAAUAAAUAAAAUAAUUUUUAUCUAUUUUUAAAUAAAAUUUUUUAUCCUUAAUUUUACAUUAACAUGUAAAAAUUUCAAUCAAUAGUUGAGAACAUUAUAAAGGAAUAGAAAGAUACAGCUGAAAAUAUAAUACAUCAAGGGUUACCUAGCCUCUAUUGCAACUAUUGCAGACACAUCUAUACAAUCAGCCAUCAUAGAGACAUUCGCAGAUACAUCCAUCAUAUUGGUGUAUUUAGUCCAUAACCAUCCAUCAUGCAAUUUAUAAUAUUUACAGGAAGCAUAAAAAUAAAUAACCAUGUUCUUCUAAUUGUGAUAUCAUUCAUGAAUAUAUCAAUCAAGAUGUUUAAAAUAUGGGUACAAGAUCCAUCUAGGAUUUUUGAUUCGGAGUUAAUUCUUGAUCCAAUUUCAGUUAUAGAUCAACCACAUAUCAUCCUUUUAAGUUAAGUUAACUAAUUCUUAAACAAACUCCAAUCAAAUUAGGUUUGCAAAGAUUUGGCCAACUGUAACUCAAGUCCUAUUCAAAUUAGGUUAAUGACAAUUUGAUUAACUUUAAUUGAAUAAAAUUUUUAAUCCAAUUAGAAUUAUGAAUUUGAUUUGAUCUACAAUCAUAAACUCUAAUCAAAUUAGACUAAUGAUUUGUAGUCAAAACAAAUCCAUCGAUAAAAAUCCUAAACAAAAUUUGAAGCAUCCCUUCCAUGAUCUAAAUUUUUUCAGCCACCCAGAUACCUAGGUCAGGAACCAUGAUGGGAGACUCCACCAUGACCAAUGAUCAAUCUAUGGUGGCUGACCUUGGAUCUAGGGUGUGUGCAUCACAUGCCACAAUCCUACGCCUUGUGCAUCAUAUGCACAAGGGAGUAAUUCCAUGAAAAUUUUAGAUCAACAAAUCUUACCUAAACUUGUCACACAAGUCCUAAGGGCAUGGAAUUUCAAGUGAUGGUUAUGAUCAUGGACAAGAUAAUAAUUAUUAUUUUACCAAGGAUGCUACAAACUAGCAAUUAAACAUCAUUCAAAAUUCUAAUUUUGACAUAUCAUGAAUUGGAUCUAAUCCAUAUCACAAUAAUAAUAUGUCGUUUGAUUAAAUCAAUCAAGGAUGGCUCUGAUACCACCGUUGAGAUUCGAAUGUGCAGCAAAAUUAAAUUUUUUAAAAAAAUUUAACAUGCAACCAUAAUUAAAACAUAUGAUCCAAAUCUCAAUCUCAAAAUCAUCUUGAUACAUUCAAUCAAACACAAAUGACAUAGCAUAUAAAAGAAAGAUUAAAAAUAUUAUACCAAUCAGAAAGAUCCAACCUAUCUAGCAAUUGGUAUUCUCAAGGCAUCUAAGUGUGUGUCCUCCGAUGAUGAUCCACACGGACCUCGAUCUAA
rnacentral:lncRNA from 1 species